rnacentral:lncRNA from 1 species
GACAGGGGCUAAUUCUGCCUGCUUGUCUUGCAGCACUGCAGAUCCAUGGAAGAAACAGCUGAACAGAUGAGCCCUGCAUUCCUGCUGAGCUGUUUGGCUUGGAGGGAUAUUUGAAGAGUAAAAAAAAUGAAUGAAAAAAAAUUUCUCAGUCAUGAGCCUUCAGUCUUUGCUCAGGAGAGACCACCACAUUGUCAAGACUCUGACAGCACAUGUCUGUGAAAACACACUCUGCUUACCUGCUACAAAUGUUGUGUGGGUAUUGUUUUAGAGGUGGUUUCCCUGCAGUGUGGUUUACACUGUGAUAAAAAUACUAGGG